rnacentral:rRNA from 1 species
CCUACGGGUGGCAGCAGUGAGGAAUAUUGGUCAAUGGACGCAAGUCUGAACCAGCCAUGCCGCGUGCAGGAUGACGGCUCUAUGAGUUGUAAACUGCUUUUGUACGGGAGUAAACCCCGAUACGUGUAUCGUGUUGAACGUAUCGUACGAAUACGGAUCGGCUAACUCCGGGCCAGCAGCCGCGGUAAUACGGUGGAUCCGAGCGUUGUACUGCUUUGUUGGGUUUGAAGGGUGCGUAGGCGGUUUGAUAUGUUAGUGGGUAAAUGUCGGGGCUCAACCCCGACACUGCCUCUGAUACUGUUGGACUAGAGUGUAGUAGCGGUAGGCGGAAUGUAAGGUGAAGCGGUGAAAUGCGUAGAGAUCAGACUGAACACCGAUUGCGAAGGCAGCUUA